rnacentral:rRNA from 1 species
AAUAUUGGACAAUGGGGGCAACCCUGACCCAGCCAUGCCGCGUGUGUGAAGAAGGUCUUCGGAUUGUAAAGCACUGUAAGUUGGGAGGAAGGGCUUUAGGUUAAUACCCUGAAGUUUUGACGUUACCAACAGAACAAGCACCGGCUAACUUCGUGCCAGCAGCCGCGGUAAUACGAAGCGUGCAAGCGUUAAUCGGAAUUACUGGGCGUAACGCGCGCGUAGGUGGUUCGUUGAGUUGGGAGUGAAAGCCCCGGGCUUAACCUGGGAAUUGCUUUCAAAACUGACGAGCUAGAGUACGGUAGAGGGUAGUGGAAUUUCCUGUGUAGCGGUGAAAUGCGUAGAUAUAGGAAGGAGCAUCAGUGGCGAAGGCGACUACCUGGACUGAUACUGACACUGAGGUGCGAGAGCGUGGGGAGCGAAC